AGUGAACGCUGGCGGCAGGCCUAACACAUGCCAGUCGAACGGCAGCACAGUAAGAGCUUGCUCUUAAGGGUGGCGAGUGGCGGACGGGUGAGGAAUACAUCGGCAUCCUCUUUUUCGUGGGGGAUAACGUAGGGAAACUUAUGCUAAUACCGCAUACGUCCUACGGGUGAAAGCAGGGGAUCUUCGGACUUUGCGUGAUUGUAUGAGCCGAUGUCGGAUUAGCUAGUUGGCGGGGUAAAGGCCCACCAAGGCGACGAUACGUAGCUGGUCUGAGAGGGUGAUCAGCCACACUGGAACUGAGACACGGUCCAGACUCCUACGGGAGGCAGCAGUGGGGAAUAUUAGGCAAUGGGCGCAAGCCUGAUCCAGCCAUACCGCGUGAGUGAUGAAGGCCUUCGGGUUGUAAAGCCCUUUUGUUGGGAAAGAAAAGCAGCAGGUUAAUACCCCGCUAUUCUGACGGUACCCAAAGAAUAAGCACCGGCUAACUUCGUG
rnacentral:rRNA from 1 species